GCAUGUGAGGGCGAUCUGGCUGCAAUAUCUGUCACCCCACUGAUUGCCAGGGUUGAUUUGGCUGAUCUGGCUGGCUAGGCGGGUGUCUCCUUCCUACCUCACCACUUCAUGUGCAUCUCUCCCAAAGCUGCAUGCUCGGCAAGAGGACAGCCGUCCUUCCCUGAACAGAGACGGAAGGGUAUAUGAGUAGCUGCACUCCCCUGCUAGAACCUCCAAAUAAGUUCGCAAUUUAUAAAACACAGAAUAUAUAGCACAAAAUUAUCCAUAAUAAUUGUUAAAUUUAUAU
rnacentral:snRNA from 1 species